UACGGAGGGUGCGAGCGUUAAUCGGAAUUACUGGGCGUAAAGCGCAUGCAGGCGGUCUGUUAAGCAAGAUGUGAAAGCCCGGGGCUCAACCUCGGAACAGCAUUUUGAACUGGCAGACUAGAGUCUUGUAGAGGGGGGUAGAAUUUCAGGUGUAGCGGUGAAAUGCGUAGAGAUCUGAAGGAAUACCGGUGGCGAAGGCGGCCCCCUGGACAAAGACUGACGCUCAGAUGCGAAAGCGUGGGGAGCAAACAGG
rnacentral:rRNA from 2 species